rnacentral:rRNA from 1 species
UAGGGAAUCUUCGGCAAUGGGGGGAACCCUGACCGAGCAACGCCGCGUGAGUGAAGAAGGUUUUCGGAUCGUAAAGCUCUGUUGUUAAGGAAGAACGAGUGUGAGAAUGGAAAGUUCAUACUGUGACGGUACUUAACCAGAAAGGGACGGCUAACUACGUGCCAGCAGCCGCGGUAAUACGUAGGUCCCGAGCGUUGUCCGGAUUUAUUGGGCGUAAAGCGAGCGCAGGCGGUUAGAAAAGUCUGAAGUGAAAGGCAGUGGCUCAACCAUUGUAGGCUUUGGAAACUGUUUAACUUGAGUGCAGAAGGGGAGAGUGGAAUUCCAUGUGUAGCGGUGAAAUGCGUAGAUAUAUGGAGGAACACCGGUGGCGAAAGCGGCUCUCUGGUCUGUAACUGACGCUGAGGCUCGAAAGCGUGGGGAGCGAACAGGAUUAGAUACCCUGGUAGUCCACACCGUAAACGAUGAAUACUAGGUGUUAGGAGGUUUCCGCCUCUUAGUGCCGAAGCUAACGCAUUAAGUAUUCCGCCUGGGGAGUACGACCGCAAGGUUG